GGGAGCUCUGUAGCAUUUCUCAUAUUAUAUGUGGAUGACAUACUAUUGAUGGGAAAUGAUAUAGAAUUCUUGGAAAGUAUAAAGGCCUAUUUGAAUAAGUGUUUUUCAAUGAAGGACCUUGGAGAAGCUGCUUAUAUAUUAGGCAUCAAGAUUUAUAGAGAUAGAUCAAGACGCCUCAUUGGUCUUUCACAGAGUACAUACCUUGACAAGAUAUUGAAGAAGUUCAAUAUGGAUCAGUCCAAGAAGGGGUUCUUGCCUGUAUUGCAAGGUGUGCAAUUGAGCACGGCUCAAUGCCCGACCACGGCAGAAGAUAGA
rnacentral:rRNA from 1 species